GAGACCUUGUUGGAUGCAAAUGCCCUGUGUGAUCUAAGAGGCUCCAAGGCAGAAGGACUCACCUAUUUUCUUCUGCAUGCAAAAUUUAAAAAGCAAAAAGAAUGGAAGAGGAAAGGCUCAUUUAAGAGGAAUCCAAGAAUUCAUCUUUACAUUCUUUUCAUUUUUUCCUGACUUGGAGGAUAAAGCGUUUGAUCUUAGAGAAACACUAAUUUUGACUUCAUGAACACAAACCAAUUCUGACCAUUGUUUUAGCCAACAGAUCUCAGAAGGAUAGAGCUCUAGCAGAGGGCUACACAGAAUUUUGCAUGAACAAAAUACACAACUGUGUUUCCACUUGACAUGUAGGGAAUCAAACUGCAAGAAUAUGUUUGCUGAUUGGUGAACGAGUUGGUGAGUGAGAGAAGUUUCAGGCUUUUAAAUUUCACUUGUCCAACUUGGGUUGUCAAUUUCCACCAAACAAAAAAAAAGAAAGAAAGAAAAGAAGAAAGAAAAAAAAUGAAUUUUAAUUGACUAUCAUUUGAAAAAUAUACCACAUCUGAUUUCUAAAAAGUAGAAUUCUAAAAACAACUGGGCACUGUCAAGCUUCAAGAAACCUUUGCAUAACUGUGACUGACUUAUCACAGUGAAGAAAUAGAAAAGAAACAUGGUUGAUUAUUAAGCUGUUGGACUCUCAGAACCUGCACAACUUUGUCCUGUUGGCCUGGAAGGAGUUUUCCGAGCACUGCAGAGGUACAGCAUCUUUUAUCAGGCAGCACCUGAUAAGUGCUUCUGACACUUAUACCAACCAAGAUGUACUAGAAUGCACUGGCUGCUGCUUCUGGGAGGACCAAACCCAAAGACAACUUGCUAGGAAGCAUUUGCCUCCCAACCCCAAAGUCCUUAGGUCUUUAGUAAAACUGGGGACACUUGGCAAGGUCUUUUGUCCCCAAGGUAAUGAUUGGAGGGCACUGGGCUGGAAGUCAAGAGAGUGAGUGCUGGCU